rnacentral:rRNA from 1 species
AGUGAACGCUGGCGGUAGGCCUAACACACGCAAGUCGAACGGCAGCACAGGAGAGCUUGCUCUCUGGGUGGCGAGUGGCGGACGGGUGAGGAAUACAUCGGAAUCUACUCUGUCGUGGGGGAUAACGUAGGGAAACUUACGCUAAUACCGCAUACGACCUACGGGUGAAAGCAGGGGAUCUUCGGACCUUGCGCGAUUGAAUGAGCCGAUGUCGGAUUAGCUAGUUGGCGGGGUAAAGGCCCACCAGGGCGACGAUCCGUAGCUGGUCUGAGAGGAUGAUCAGCCACACUGGAACUGAGACACGGUCCAGACUCCUACGGGAGGCAGCAGUGGGGAAUAUUGGACAAUGGGCGCAAGCCUGAUCCAGCCAUACCGCGUGGGUGAAGAAGGCCUUCGGGUUGUAAAGCCCUUUUGUUGGGAAAGAAAUCCAGCUGGCUAAUACCCGGUUGGGAUGACGGUACCCAAAGAAUAAGCACCGGCUAACUUCGUGCCAGCAGCCGCCGUAA